CUUUAUUUGCCUUUCAACUUGAAUUGUUAGAGCAUGUUUUGUACAUAGGAUUGGACACAGGAAUGAACAUAAAUUUUACUUAAUCAUUUCCAAUUUGUGCAGUCGAACAUACUAACCAAGCUAUGGACUAAAACCAGAAUAGUUUAAACUUAAGCUCAGUGCAGUCACCCUUCCAUAUGUUGUAUGAAAAAUAUCCAGAAAUCAACUUUGAACUUGUCUCCGAGUCAAUGAAAAGGCAC
rnacentral:lncRNA from 1 species